UACGGGGGGGGCAAGCGUUGUUCGGCAUUACUGGGCGUAAAGGGCGCGUAGGCGGUCCGCUAAGUUGGAUGUGAAAACUCUGGGCUUAACCCAGAGCCUGCAUUCAAAACUGACGGGCUAGAGUUCUGGAGGGGGUAGCGGAAUUCCUGGUGUAGCGGUGAAAUGCGCAGAUAUCAGGAGGAACACCGGUGGCGAAGGCGGUUCUCUGGGCCUGUACUGACGCUGAGGAGCGAAAGCGUGGGGAGCGAACAGG
rnacentral:rRNA from 1 species